CAUGUGCCCAACCACCCUUUCUUCCCAGGCUGAAGGAGCACAAGGACCAAGGGGGAUUUAUACUGCUGCAGAAGCGAUACAAGAAUGAGCUGCCACAGCCUGGAGUAUUUUCUGGCUGAUGUUUUCUGAUAUGGGUCUCCCACAGCAGAGCAGUGCCCUUCCUGGCACUUUGCUGAUGAUUCUCCACCUAUCAUGGAAGCCUUGGAACGAGCACUCACUCUUCUGCCGCCUGACCCUGGGAUCUGGAAGGAAAUGAAGAGCCCAGAGGACAGAUCUGGUAGGGGCACUGGUCCCCCCUUGCUGACCUGGGACCACCUCUGCACCCCUGGCCCUGCCAGGGAGUGCCCCUGACCUGGAGCUACUCCAGGGCUGGGCUACUGGCCUGUGAGGCACCAGGUGCCACAGGAGUGUGACAUGCCCCUCACGAUGAAUGGAGCUUCAACCACUGUGUCCCUUCCACCGCCUGCCCAAGGAAGGACCACAGGAACUGGUGUCAAGCUCCAGGGUGCAGCCAGGGCACGGCUAAGCAUGUCACAAGUGCCAAGAGGGAAGUGACUCACUCACCUGGGAGCCAGCACAACGCCCUCUUCCUGUCGGAGCCUCUUCCCAGGCAGGAGCAUACUGACGGCUCAGCCCUGCUGGUGUCUCCACUUGCGGCAGGGAUCUGGCGGGCUGGGGUCUGUGACUGAGCUGGAGCAGGGGCUCUGUGACCCGAGGUGACUCUGCAGUCAUGCUGCAAUUGCUCUCAUUCUGGUGCCCUGUUCUUAAGAGCUGCCAGUGUGGAGACUGUCCAGCCCCGGGGCAGGGAAAAUAACAUCUGGGAGACAGCCAAGCAUCCUCAGUGAAACCCCCACCGCUACUAAGGCUGAAGAUGGACAUAUUGUGCUGAAUUUUUUCAACUCUGGACACUGGCAUUGGAACAGCACAGCCUCCUCAUGCAAAGAUAGGUGAGCUCUACCAGGUGCUGCUGGGGCCAGGAGAUGGCACUACCCUCUCCUGCGGGCCACCUUUGCCAGAGAUUUCAGCAGACUGGAAGCAGUCACGGAGCAUGUUCUCGCACUCACCUCUCC